GCAAGUCGAGCGGACAGAUGGGAGCUUGCUCCCUGAUGUUAGCGGCGGACGGGUGAGUAACACGUGGGUAACCUGCCUGUAAGACUGGGAUAACUCCGGGAAACCGGGGCUAAUACCGGAUGGUUGUUUGAACCGCAUGGUUCAAACAUAAAAGGUGGCUUCGGCUACCACUUACAGAUGGACCCGCGGCGCAUUAGCUAGUUGGUGAGGUAACGGCUCACCAAGGCAACGAUGCGUAGCCGACCUGAGAGGGUGAUCGGCCACACUGGGACUGAGACACGGCCCAGACUCCUACGGGAGGCAGCAGUAGGGAAUCUUCCGCAAUGGACGAAAGUCUGACGGAGCAACGCCGCGUGAGUGAUGAAGGUUUUCGGAUCGUAAAGCUCUGUUGUUAGGGAAGAACAAGUACCGUUCGAAUAGGGCGGUACCUUGACGGUACCUAACCAGAAAGCCACGGCUAACUACGUGCCAGCAGCCGCGGUAAUACGUAGGUGGCAAGCGUUGUCCGGAAUUAUUGGGCGUAAAGGGCUCGCAGGCGGUUUCUUAAGUCUGAUGUGAAAGCCCCCGGCUCAACCGGGGAGGGUCAUUGGAAACUGGGGAACUUGAGUGCAGAAGAGGAGAGUGGAAUUCCACGUGUAGCGGUGAAAUGCGUAGAGAUGUGGAGGAACACCAGUGGCGAAGGCGACUCUCUGGUCUGUAACUGACGCUGAGGAGCGAAAGCGUGGGGAGCGAACAGGAUUAGAUACCCUGGUAGUCCACGCCGUAAACGAUGAGUGCUAAGUGUUAGGGGGUUUCCGCCCCUUAGUGCUGCAGCUAACGCAUUAAGCACUCCGCCUGGGGAGUACGGUCGCAAGACUGAAACUCAAAGGAUGUGACGGGGGCCCGCACAAGCGGUG
rnacentral:rRNA from 2 species